CUACAACAUUUGUCUUAGGAGCCUUGAAAACUCCUAACAUCACCUAUGAAAAUAGGUGGUAUUAAAAUCCCCUUCUCGAAGCCAGUUGAUUCUUGAUUUUUGACGGAAAUAAGCUUCUUCUAUCUCUCGCAGGAAAAGCCAUUUUUGGUGGAGUUCUCUUUCCUGUUGGAACAGCUGCGGGGUAGGAGACUGAAGAGCUGAGACCUGCACAUGUUGUAACAAACUGUAAGUUUCACUCACCCUCUCUUGAAUUUUUGAAAAAUUCUCUCGAUUUAGUAAUUUAAGAUCUGUCUUAGUGACUUUCAACUUCCAACAGAACUGAGUCAUAGUCAUGCACAUGCUUCCGGCACGAAUCCAAGCAUCAUUUACCACCGCAGAAAAACCUGGGUGCUUGGUUAGGUAGUUUUAAAAUUUGAAAGGCUGGGUUCUGGUUUUGGGGAGGGUAAAGGCAAGGUCUGUUAGGCAGGGACAAUGGUCUGAGAAGAGUUGGGGGAGGAAGGUUGCAUGGGUGUGAGGAAAGGCUGAGACC
rnacentral:lncRNA from 1 species